GACGAACGCUGGCGGCGUGCCUAACACAUGCAAGUCGAACGGAGCAGAUCCCUUCGGGGGGUUUGCUUAGUGGCGAACGGGUGAGUAACGCGUGAGGAACCUGCCUUUCAGUGGGGGACAACAGUUGGAAACGACUGCUAAUACCGCAUAAGCCCACGGCCCCGGCAUCGGGCUGAGGGAAAAGGAUUUAUUCGCUUCAGGAUGGACUCGCGUCCAAUUAGCUAGUUGGUGAGGUAACGGCCCACCAAGGCGACGAUUGGUAGCCGGACUGAGAGGUUGAACGGCCACAUUGGGACUGAGACACGGCCCAA
rnacentral:rRNA from 1 species